AUGAGGGUGGGGCAUAGCCGGCGGCGGAGAAGGCUUUAUCUGAUGUUGAGUUCUCCGGGGGGGUCCUGCACCAUGUUCAGCUCGGGCGGUGGCGAUGUGGCUGUCGGACGCGCCCAUGGCGCGGCGCCGCCCGUCGUCUCGCGCGGCUCGAUUCAGUCCUUACCCCACGGUGCGCAAGCAUCCGCAAACACCACCAUCCGAGUUGGCUGGAAGCGCAGGCCAAGAGGGCCGCAAGCACCAGACGAGCGGGCGGCGGUGGUUGAUCGUGUGCCGGUACUUGAAGCUGCCAUACGAGGGUUCGCUGACAGGGGGACUGAUGUGGUUGUCAACCCGGUGCUUGGCACAAUUUUCGAUUCUAUGCCGGAGGUGUAUGAAUUCUACAAUCUUAUUCUCGUCGCUGGUUAA
rnacentral:rRNA from 1 species